CCUUGGUAUGUUUAUAGUUUAAUCUUCUUCUCUCUUUUUCUUUUCCUAUGAUGUUCUUUUCUAUGUUUUGUAACACCCUAAAUUUAAGUCUUUAAAAUUAUAGUAUCAGUCCUGGGAUUCUUGCUUGAGCGAGAGAUUCUCGCCUAGGCGAGAAAGGCUCACCUGAGAUGGUGAAAUCCUUGGCUAUAGUGGAGGAUUUUCGACUGAGCGAGAGUUGUCUCGUAUGGGCGAGAAAUGGCAUUUUGGGAUUGUUGAGACUGUGAGAUUCUCGCUUGAGCGAGAGGGUCAGAUCUAAGUUUUUAAAACAUGCGAGAUUUUCUCGCUUGAGCGAGAAAGGGCUCGCUUAAGCGAGAACCCGAUGCUGUUACAUUAAAUAGGGGACCCCAAACACAUUUGCGAGAGUUAACCUAGAAAGAAGGGAGAAAAGUGAACAUUUUCAAGAACAAGAAGGCCUGUGAGUCAUUUAGAAGUUUGAGAAGAGGUAGAUCUCUUGAUUCUAACUCUUUUCUUCCCUUUGAAACUUGUUUUGGGUAUGUUUGAUCUCUUCUCAAAAUGAGAGAAACCAUAGAAACUCACCUUUUUGAGUUAUGGUUCGUUUUAUGUUAUUUUAUCUUGUAAACUCUUGGUAUGGAGUUAGUAUUUCAAAAAAGGAGAGAGUUUGUGGAUUGAUUCAUGAAAACCCCAAAACCCUAAAGAGAAAAUGGGGUUAAGAUGGAAAAUGGGUAAAAUGUUAGAAGUAGAAGAUGAGUUUACUUUCUAAUGUUGAAAAUAUGAGAUGAAUAUGUAUGUUUUAGAUGUUGUAAACUUAUGAUGAAAGUAGUUUAGCAACAUUGAAAAUAUGAUGAAUAUCUUGUAUGGUUAAAUGAUGCAAUAUAAGUUGCUUAUGUGAUAUUGGGAAUAAAUGACUAACAUUGUGUUGUAUGGUGGGAAUGAGGAAAAAUCCUAGAGUUGGUGGCGGUGUCGGUGGAACUAAUACAGUUACCAAGUACCCAACCCAACACUCACCAAGAUAAACAGUUGACAUGAGGUGGUCUUAUUUUUGAAAGCUUAGGGAGCUUUAUGUUUUAUUUUCACUUAUUUGCACUAUUUUGUACAUGAGUGUUUAUUGGAUUACUUGAAAUAUUUUGUAACUAUGGAUAUAUAACUUACCUGAUUUAUUGUGACUCUGGAUAUUCGUAGCUAUGAGUAUUUUGGAAACCAAUAGCUAGUUGUAUGCUGUAGUCACUAAGGAUCAAUUGAAUGAAUUAUGUUUUUAUGCAAUAUGAAAUGUAUGGUAACAUAAUAUGUUAAAAAGUGGUUUUACGGAGUGAUUAAUGAGAGAUUAAAGUAAGAUGAUGAAUGUAUGCAUGAAAGGAUUAAAAUAAAGGAAAAAAAAAUUUCAAGGGUAGAAUUUCGAUCCUUACAUGUUCAUCUUCUUAUGUCUUUCUUUAUUCAAAGUUCAUACCUUUCUUCCUAUAAUUAUUUUCGAAACUGUUUGUUU